rnacentral:rRNA from 1 species
UACAGAGGUCUCAAGCGUUGUUCGGAUUCAUUGGGCGUAAAGGGUGCGUAGGCGGCGCGGUAAGUCGGGUGUGAAAUCUCGGAGCUUAACUCCGAAACUGCAUUCGAUACUGCCGUGCUUGAGGACUGGAGAGGAGACUGGAAUUUACGGUGUAGCGGUGAAAUGCGUAGAUAUCGUAAGGAAGACCAGUGGCGAAGGCGGGUCUCUGGACAGUUACUGACGCUGAUGCACGAAGGCCAGGGGAGCAAACGGG